CCUACGGGAGGCAGCAGUGGGGAAUAUUGCACAAUGGGCGAAAGCCUGAUGCAGCAACGCCGCGUGCGGGAUGACGGCCUUCGGGUUGUAAACCGCUUUCAGUUCCGACGAAGGUAACCUGACGGUAGGAACAGAAGAAGGACCGGCCAACUACGUGCCAGCAGCCGCGGUGAUACGUAGGGUCCGAGCGUUGUCCGGAAUUAUUGGGCGUAAAGGGCUUGUAGGCGGUUUGUCGCGUCGGAAGUGAAAACUCAGGGCUUAACCCUGAGCCUGCUUCCGAUACGGGCAAACUAGAGGGAUGCAGGGGAGAACGGAAUUCCUGGUGGAGCGGUGGAAUGCGCAGAUAUCAGGAGGAACACCGGUGGCGAAGGCGGUUCUCUGGGCAUUUCCUGACGCUGAGAAGCGAAAGCGUGGGGAGCAAACAGGCUUAGAUACCCUGGUAGUCCACGCCGUAAACGGUGGGCACUAGGUGUGGGGAACAUUCCACGUUCUCCGUGCCGCAGCUAACGCAUUAAGUGCCCCGCCCGGGGAGUACGGCCGCAAGGCUAAAACUCAAAGGAAUUGACGGGGGCCCGCACAAGCGGCGGAGCAUGCGGAUUAAUUCGAUGCAACGCGAAGAACCUUACCUGGGUUUGACAUAUGCCGGAAAGCUGCAGAGAUGUAGCCCCCGCAAGGUCGGUAUACAGGUGGUGCAUGGCUGUCGUCAGCUCGUGUCGUGAGAUGUUGGGUUAAGUCUCGCAACGAGCGCAACCCUCGUCCUAUGUUGCCAGCGGAUAAUGCCGGGGACUCAUAGGAGACUGCCGGGGUCACCUCGGAGGAAGGUGGGGAUGACCUCCAGUUAUCCUGCCCCCUCAUUCCAGGCUUUCCCGCAUGCUACCAUGGUCGGUACCAUG
rnacentral:rRNA from 1 species